rnacentral:lncRNA from 10 species
UUUCAGUGUCAUCAUGUACUAAUGUAAACCAGUUUAAUGCUGCCCUAAAACAAUGUAUACCAAUUACACCAUCAUUUUCCAGAAGUGGGGAUUAUACUUUUAAAAAACUGCUUUAGUAAUUGAAAAUAGUAACUGCAGCCUCAGACUCCUGGGCUCAAGAGAUCCUUCUGCCCCUGCCCCGCAAGUAGCUGGGACUACAGGUGCACACCAUGCCUGGCUUCUCAUUUCUGUGCUAAUUACAUUUGUCAGUUGGCCUGUGAGUGUCCUGACAGUACUGGCUCCAGCAGCAGCUUCUGUUCCUGGCUUCUCAGGUAAGUUCUGAUUCUCUGCAUUCACCUGUCUCUCCAGUUUUCAGGAUAGCAGUUUGCCCCAUGACCUCAUUUCUCUGAUGGAUCUGAGAAGAGUUGUUGAUUUUCCAUUUGCUGAGCUUUUUUCUUGUUGUGGGGACAGCAGUGAUAACUUCCAAGCUCUUUACCUGUCAAAUCAUUAUCUUUUGAUAUUUGAAUGGUUUUAGUUUUACAUGUGGAUUUGUAUUCCAUCUGGAAUAUUUCUUUUAUGCAUUAUAUAAGGUAGAGAACUAACUUUUCUUAGUGAAAAUCUGUCAUUCCCCAUUUAUUUGGGAUGACUUCAUUAUACACAAAUAACCCACGUAAGUGUGUGUGCUCUGUGCUUCUCGUUCUCUUCCGUUGGCCUAUUUGCCUAUUCCUAACCACUUCCAUACUGUAGCUUUUUAAUACACCCUUCAAUGCUGGGUAGCGCAAACCCCCUCUGAUUCUUCCCGGCGAUUCUCUCGUGUUGCCUCUCCUCUGUAUUGGAACACAUUCCCUCCCUCCUGUCAGAUGUUAAUUACUUGUGUUCUUUUUCUUUUCUCUGCCAGACUUUCUAGAAGUUUUCUAGUUGUUUUACUCAUUUAUUUAAUCAUAUCUUUGGGAGUUUUUUAAAUUCAUAAAUGUAUCCUCACAUAUUUACUCAUUUGUUCCCUUUUUAGUUUUCUAUUUCUUGCUUCUUGAAUUAAAUGCUCAAUUCUUCUUUAUUAUACAAAUAAUACUACUGCAUUCCCAUUUGGAAAAUGUUCAGUCUGUACAGAAACACACAGAGGAAAAUGUGAGAGUUCCUUUACUUGCACCCCCACUUCCCAGUCCUCUCCCAGAAGUAAGAACCAUCAGCAGUUUUACCCAAACACGUUGCUUAUGCUCAAAUGUCAUUUUUAAAAUAAAUGACAUCAUACUCUUUGUACUGUUUUGACUUGCUUUUUAAAAAAUUUUACUUUGCAUAUGACUUAGAGAUAUUUUUGUUAUCAGUAUAGAUAUGUUUGCCUCAUUUCAGGUAAAGGUUACAUAAUAUUCCCUAGUACAGACAGGCUGUGUUUAAAUGAUAUACUCCAUUAUUGAAGGAUAUUUAGCUAGCUUUCCAACAGAAACUCUUCAGAUACCUGAAAAACAGUAUCUACAAGAAACAACCUUAGCCAGCAUGCGGACACAUGGACACUUCAGUUGCUGAAACACCGGAAUGCUUCCCGAUCCAUCGGUUGGUAGCAGGCCCCCAAUAUUCAUAUUUGACGACAAUAUGGUCCUCAACUUGGUACACACAUCCCAUAAAAGUUCAAAUACAAAACACACAUGCAAAAAGUGGUGGCUUUCGUGCACCCCAGGAAUCACUAAUGAAAAUGCAGUAUGAAAAACCACAAAGUGAGAAUUGGAGCUGAUUAUCUCUACUCUACCCCUCUGUGCAGACACUGUUCUGAAAGGUUUACUCAAGCAUUAAUUCACUUACUAUUCGCAGCAACCCAAGGAGGAUGUUCCAUUAUUAUCUCCACUUCACAAACCGGCCCAUAGUCACAUCUCUACUGAGUGGGAGAGCCAGCAAGGUUGCCCAGACAGCCUGGCUCCUGCAGAUCUGUCUUCUGCAUUGAAAACAUCAUAUUUACAGCAGCUACCAUAUUCUGAGGCAUGUUCCUAAUGCCAAAUGUGUAAGACGGAGGAAAUCACAUUCACUUAAAGGCAUUAUUUACUGGUGUUUGACUAACCUCUCCCAAAUCCACCCUUGGAUGACACCCACAAAGCCCUAGGCCAGGAGUCUGCCAGGACUCAGGCGGCAGGUCUCUCUUAGCCCACGAGGUCUGGGCCUCACUGGGAUGGCAGUGGGAAACCUGGCAUUCAGGGUAAUGUGUCAUGGGCACCCAGAAGACGCUCCCACUAUAAAACUUUGGGAAAUAAAGCAGUGAGGAGAUAGCCAUCCCCAACAGGUACCCCAGUGCUCACUCCCCAUGGGCAGCAGGUGCUGCGAACACUGAAGAAACAGUGCCUGAUUCAACAAGGACAGAAAGACCCCGGAGCGCAGAGACCAGGCAUCAUCGCUAACCACUAAAGCAAAGAGGGCACUGCCAGCUGACAACCAAGAGGAACUAUGGGAGUCUCCACCUGGAGCACAGAGACCAGGCAUCACCGCUAACCACUAAAGCAACGAGGGCACUGCCAGCUGACAACCAAGAGGAACUAUGGGAGUCUCCACCCGGAGCACAGAGACCAGGCAUCACCGCUAACCACUGAAGCAACGAGGGCACUGCCAGCUGACAACUAAGAGGACCCACAGGAGUCUCCAGGGGUUACUCACCAGCCCCAGGGCCGAGAACCUAAACAGCCAGGCAGUCUACCACAUGCUUACCUGGUCAAUAUAACCAGAGCAACUCCAGGCCUAGCAAGUGAGGUCUCACUUAGGCCUAACAAUGAAGUUACAGCUUCUCACCCAUUUCCUAAGGAAUCACCCAACACACAGAGCCUGGGGCUUCAGGAAGGAUACAGAUCAUUUCACCAGCACGCGCUCUUUUAACUCCCUUCCCUUUCCCAAAGGGUCUGUGGCCAUUUGCCAGAGAGCCUGGGCCUGGGAAGGCUGGCGUGAAGGGUGUCAGGAAAUCUAGGACAAAGACCAGACUAAUUCUAGCCCCUGCGAGGCAGGACACCGCAAUGUCCUCCAGUCACAGUGGGCCUCCAAGCCUAUGCUACAUUAUUUCUCAGGCACCCAGGUGUGUGGUUGGAAUAUUAACCCUCAAUACUGUGCAGAACUACCUCUCAGUUCCCCAAUAGGAAGAACACCUAUUCAGGCAUGAAGAGCAAAGUGACGUCUUAGAGCUCUCCCUCCUUACUUAAAUAUUAAAUCAAAAGCAAGACCAUGGAUAAGCAAUCUGUGGUAUAUUUUAAAAAUGGAAUAUUGCUCUAUAAUGAAAAGAAACAAAUUACUAAUGCGUGCAACAAAUGGGUGAAUCUUAACAGUAGUGUGCUGGGUGAGGGAAGCAGACACGAGUGCCUACUGUGCGCUUCCCUCACGAAGCCCGAGAACAGACAGAGCCACCUCAUGGAGACAGAAACCUGAAUACUGUGCGUCGCGUGGGAAAGGGCAGAAAUUUGCACACCACAAUGACUGAACGCUGCCAGUGGGGAUUCCCGUCACCGGCCUGGCCCCAGUGUAUCUUCAAGAAUGACUCGUCUGGCACAGCGGGAGCAGGUGGUGGAUACGAGGGCCACUUUCCUCCAGUCUGGGAUUCUUACUGGACAAAUUAACACAGUACAAUCCCUGGUUUGAGGCUUGUACCUAAGAAUCUAACAAAUUGCUUUUUCUAUCCCAAUUAAGAGAAAGCACUAGAAACUAUUCCUUUUCUCAGCAGAGUCAUGGUGCAGACUGCAGCUUUGUCUCAGGCUAUGACACUCCGGCUUACUGUCAGGACUCAAACCAAACAGGACGCCUGGUCAGGCUGCCCUCUCCUCAACUUCCUCUCUCAGCAUCGAAAUCGCAGCGCGCCUCUCCCACCCUCAGGGGCCCACUGCCCAAUGACACCUGCCCAGCCUCCUCCUGGUGGCUAAGGGGCACCGCCUCAGCACCCCCAGGUCUGCCCCUCUUUGGGCAGGUCUCUGCCUCCUCCUCUGCCCCACACCCACCUGCUCCAUCCCCGCCCCACCCCAGUUCCCGUGUGGCAGAUGCUGUCCUGCAGCUCAGAGCCCAGCUCACCCUGAAAAUCUCCAAGGCCCAGCCAGGGGUCUGGCCCAGGCUUGCAGCCCACCCAGAGGAGCCCAGGGGACCUCUCGCCUCUGCCUGAGCCAUGCAGGCUUCAUCUUCCGUGGAUGAAGAGCUCAGCCUGGCCAGAGCCUCCCCAUGCUCCGCACUAAGACGUGCUUCUGAGACACCAUCCGGCAGGACAGGCUUUCAGUUGCCAAGGGCCCCACAGGCUGUCCCUGCUUCUGGAACUCUCUUCCCCUGGCCGGCCCCUCGUCCUUCAGCAGGAGGAAAACACUCUUUCACACAAGCCCUCCUUAUCUACCAGCCUGGGCUGCACCCGCAAAGGGUCUGUGUUUCGGGUUCCAGUGUGUGGCGGCGUGUGGUGGUGUGUGGCGGCAUGUGGUGAUGUGUGGCAGCAUGUCACAGUGCUCCAAGCUGUGAGUCGGGUGCCUUCCCUGGUGCUGCUCUCUCAGAAAGCUCUUCCUGCAUUUCCUGCAGUCCAGGAAGUUCUCAUCGGGACUGGCAGGGAGUUUGGAAUUUUGAGUUUUUAAGAAUCAGUUAGACACUUAUGCAGCCAAAAGACAUAUGAAAAAAUGCUCAUCAUCACUGGCCAUCAGAGAAAUGCAAAUCAAAACCACAAUGAG